AUUGAACGCUGGCGGCAGGCCUAACACAUGCAAGUCGAGCGGAAGAAGGGAGCUGCCUCCUGGUUUCAGCGCCGGAGGGGGGCGGAAUGCCUAUGACUCUGCCUGUGCGUGGGGGAUAACGUCCGCAAACGGGCGCUAAAACCGCAUCCGCCCAGAGUGGGAAAACGGGGGAGCUUCGGCCCUCACCCUAUCAGAUGAGCCUAGGUCGGAUUAGCUAGUUGGUGGGGUAAAGGCCAACCAAGGCGACGAUCCCUAACUGGUCUGAGAGGAUGAUCAGUCACACUGGAACUGAGACACGGUCCAGACUCCUACGGGAGGCAGCAGUGGGGAAUAUUGGACAAUGGGCGAAAGCCUGAUCCAGCCAUGCCGCGUGUGUGAAGAAGGUCUUCGGAUUGUAAAGCACUUUAAGUUGGGAGGAAGGGCAGUAAGUUAAUACCUUGCUGUUUUGACGUUACCAACAGAAUAAGCACCGGCUAACUUCGUG
rnacentral:rRNA from 1 species